AGUCGUAACAAGGUUUCCGUAGGUGAACGGUUUGCCUCCUGGAAGCCCCUGCAGCGACUCGUAAAAGAAUUGCAUUAGUCGCCCUGAUGGGCAGGCAACGCCGUCAAUCUGCGCCGGGAGUCCCCCAUGGGGGUCAACCGGCAGCUCCAGAGCUCUGGAGUCCACAGAUCAAACGAUAGCGGCCACCUUGGUGGUUGAGAUAUGAUCGGCCUCGGCUUUUACCAGCCUAAGAUUUUGCGGAACCUGCGGAAGGAUCAUUACUGAGAGAGGGGCUUCGGCCCCUAACUCUUCACCCAUUGUCUACCUACCUUUGUUGCUUUGGCGGGUCCUGGGGACCUCUCGCGCCGGCGCACCCGCCGGCGAGCGCCCGCCAGAGGCCUAUUAAAACCUAUUUGUCAGUGAUGUCCGAGCGAAAAACACAAUAAUCAAAACUUUCAACAACGGAUCUCUUGGUUCCAGCAUCGAUGAAGAACGCAGCGAAAUGCGAUAACUAAUGUGAAUUGCAGAAUUCAGUGAAUCAUCGAGUCUUUGAACGCACAUUGCGCCCCUCGGUAUUCCGGGGGGCAUGCCUGUUCGAGCGUCAUCAUACCCCUCAAGCGUAGCUUGGGUAUUGGGCCUCGCCCCCGUGGCGUGCCCRAAAGGCAGUGGCGGUCCGGUGCGGCUUUAAGCGUAGUAAAAUCAUCCGCUUUGAAAGAUCGCCCGUGGCCGGCCAGACAACCCCACAUAUUCCAAUUCAUUGACCUCGGAUCAGGUAGGGAUACCCGCUGAACUUAAGCAUAUCAAUAAGCGGAGGAAAAGAAACCAACAGGGAUUGCCUCAGUAACGGCGAGUGAAGCGGCAACAGCUCAAAUUUGAAAUCUGGCCCUUUCGGGGUCCGAGUUGUAAUUUGUAGAGAGUGCUUCGGGUGAGACCGCGGUCUAAGUCCAUUGGAACAUGGCGUCAUAGAGGGUGAGAAUCCCGUAUGUGACUGUGGCUCGAGCCCAUGUGAAGCCUCUUCUUCGACGAGUCGAGUUGUUUGGGAAUGCAGCUCAAAAUGGGUGGUAAAUUUCAUCUAAAGCUAAAUACUGGCUGGAGACCGAUAGCGCACAAGUAGAGUGAUCGAAAGAUGAAAAGCACUUUGGAAAGAGAGUCAAACAGUACGUGAAAUUGUUGAAAGGGAAGCGCUUGCAACCAGACCUGCCCGUAGGUGAUCAGCCGCUGUUCUCAGUGGUGCACUCGCUCUGCGAUCAGGCCAGCAUCGGUUCUGGCGGUCGGAUAAAGGCCUUGGGAAUGUAGCUCCCCCCGGGGAGUCUUAUAGCCCUCGGUGCAAUGCGGCCAGCCGGGACCGAGGACCGCGCUUCGGCUAGGAUGCUGGCGUAAUGGUUGUAAGCGACC
rnacentral:rRNA from 1 species